rnacentral:lncRNA from 1 species
CUAAAAUGGCUAGCCAGAAGGUUUAUUUUUGGGUUCCUAAGUCCUGCAUAAGUAUUCAAGAUCUCCUCAACAAAUAACCGAUGUGGGACUAAAUAUAUGCCUGCACGGGUCCUCACAUACUCCCCUCGUUCGAAGUCAGGCUAAGUGAUGGCGGACCACUGCAGGGAGAAGAGAGAGAGGAAGAAGAAGAGGAGGAGGAAGAAGAGGUUAUAGAGACGCAGGAAGAAGAGGUUAUAGAGACGCAGAAAGAAGAAAAGAGGAGGAAAAAGAAGCAGAAAGGAUGCUAGCAUUUUUUUUAUUCAAUCAUUCAAUUUUUCUAAUUUAUGAACAGGGUGGCCCUUAUAUAGGUCUUACAUCAUGAAUUGACCAAGUCAGACAAUUAACAACUAACCAAACUCAGACUCUUCAAUUAAUUGACUAAGUCAAUUAAUUCAUUACAUACCAAAGUAAAUCUUUUUAACAUUAGACCAUUAAACCAAUUGAUCACACCCAAAAUUUGACCUUUAUAAUUAGGUCUUAUAUUGAUCAAUUGAUU